rnacentral:rRNA from 1 species
AUGAACGCUGGCGGCGUGCCUAAUACAUGCAAGUCGAGCGAACAGACGAGGAGCUUGCUCCUCUGACGUUAGCGGCGGACGGGUGAGUAACACGUGGAUAACCUACCUAUAAGACUGGGAUAACUUCGGGAAACCGGAGCUAAUACCGGAUAAUAUAUUUAACCGCAUGGUUCAAUAGUGAAAGAAGGUUUUGCUGUCACUUAUAGAUGGAUCCGCGCCGCAUUAGCUAGUUGGUAAGGUAACGGCUUACCAAGGCGACGAUGCGUAGCCGACCUGAGAGGGUGAUCGGCCACACUGGAACUGAGACACGGUCCAGACUCCUACGGGAGGCAGCAGUAGGGAAUCUUCCGCAAAGGGCGAAAGCCUGACGGAGCAACGCCGCGUGAGUGAUGAAGGUCUUCGGAUCGUAAAACUCUGUUAUUAGGGAAGAACAAAUGUGUAAGUAACUAUGCACGUCUUGACGGUACCUAAUCAGAAAGCCACGGCUAACUACGUG